rnacentral:rRNA from 1 species
UACGUAGGGGGCAAGCGUUGUCCGGAUUUAUUGGGCGUAAAGAGCGUGUAGGCGGCUUUGCAAGUCCGUUGUAAAAACUCGAGGCUCAACCUCGAGACGCCGGUGGAAACUGCAAAGCUAGAGUCCGGAAGAGGAGAGUGGAAUUCCUGGUGUAGCGGUGAAAUGCGCAGAUAUCAGGAAGAACACCCGUGGCGAAGGCGGCUCUCUGGGACGGUACUGACGCUGAGACGCGAAAGCGUGGGGAGCAAACAGG